rnacentral:rRNA from 1 species
AUUGAACGCUGGCGGCAUGCCUUACACAUGCAAGUCGAACGGUAACAGGUCUUCGGAUGCUGACGAGUGGCGAACGGGUGAGUAAUACAUCGGAACGUGCCCGAUCGUGGGGGAUAACGAGGCGAAAGCUUUGCUAAUACCGCAUACGAUCUACGGAUGAAAGCGGGGGAUCUUCGGACCUCGCGCGGACGGAGCGGCCGAUGGCAGAUUAGGUAGUUGGUGGGAUAAAAGCUUACCAAGCCGACGAUCUGUAGCUGGUCUGAGAGGAUGAUCAGCCACACUGGGACUGUGACACGGCCCAGACUCCUACGGGAGGCAGCAGUGGGGAAUUUUGGACAAUGGGCGAAAGCCUGAUCCAGCCAUGCCGCGUGCAGGAUGAAGGCCUUCGGGUUGUAAACUGCUUUUGUACGGAACGAAAAGCCUCUUUCUAAUAAAGAGGGGUCAUGACGGUACCGUAAGAAUAAGCACCGGCUAACUACGUG